GACGAACGCUGGCGGCGUGCCUAACACAUGCAAGUCGAACGAACGGCGAGAAGCUUGCUUCUCAAAGUUAGUGGCGGACGGGUGAGUAACGCGUGAGUAACCUGCCUUCAGGAGGGGGACAACAUCUCGAAAGGGGUGCUAAUACCGCAUAAUAUUGUUUUAUCGCAUGGUAAAACAAUCAAAGAUUUAUCGCCUGAAGAUGGACUCGCGUCUGAUUAGCUAGUUGGUGAGGUAAUGGCUCACCAAGGCGACGAUCAGUAGCCGGUCUGAGAGGAUGAACGGCCACAUUGGGACUGAGAUACGGCCCAGACUCCUACGGGAGGCAGCAGUGGGGAAUAUUGGGCAAUGGGGGGAAACCCUGACCCAGCAACGCCGCGUGAAGGAGAA
rnacentral:rRNA from 1 species